rnacentral:lncRNA from 1 species
GGACAAACGGGCGAAACAGCCCGAAUGGGUGAUUUUUAGGCUAAAUCGGUGUGCUAUAGCCCACGAUUCUGGGUGUGGGCUCGUGGUUUGGGCGUGUUAUGCGCCCAAAAUUGAUUGGGGCAUGCUAGGGAGGUUGAGGAUUGUCCAAGUGUGGUCCGUUCCAAUAUUCUUGGCCAUUUGGUUGGACAAUCGGAUGAAACCGCAUAAACGGG